AGAGUUUGAUCCUGGCUCAGGACGAACGCUGGCGGCGCGCCUAACACAUGCAAGUCGAACGAGCGAGAGAGAGCUUGCUUUCUCGAGCGAGUGGCGAACGGGUGAGUAACGCGUGAGGAACCUGCCUCAAAGAGGGGGACAACAGUUGGAAACGACUGCUAAUACCGCAUAAGCCCACAGCUCGGCAUCGAGCAGAGGGAAAGGGAGUGAUCCGCUUUGAGAUGGCCUCGCGUCCGAUUAGCUGGUUGGUGAGGUAACGGCCCACCAAGGCAACGAUCGGUAGCCGGACUGAGAGGUUGAACGGCCACAUUGGGACUGAGACACGGCCCAGACUCCUACGGGAGGCAGCAGUGGGGAAUAUUGCACAAUGGGGGAAACCCUGAUGCAGCGACGCCGCGUGGAGGAAGAAGGUCUUCGGAUUGUAAACUCCUGUUGUUGAGGAAGAUAAUGACGGUACUCAACAAGGAAGUGAUGGCUAACUACGUGCCAGCAGCCGCGGUAAAACGUAGGUCACAAGCGUUGUCCGGAAUUACUGGGUGUAAAGGGAGCGCAGGCGGGAAAGCAAGUUGGAAGUGAAAUCCAUGGGCUCAACCCAUGAACUGCUUUCAAAACUGUUUUUCUUGAGUAGUGCAGAGGUAGGCGGAAUUCCCGGUGUAGCGGUGGAAUGCGUAGAUAUCGGGAGGAACACCAGUGGCGAAGGCGGCCUACUGGGCACCAACUGACGCUGAGGCUCGAAAGUGUGGGUAGCAAACAGGAUUAGAUACCCUGGUAGUCCACACUGUAAACGAUGAUUACUAGGUGUUGGAGGAUUGACCCCUUCAGUGCCGCAGUUAACACAAUAAGUAAUCCACCUGGGGAGUACGACCGCAAGGUUGAAACUCAAAGGAAUUGACGGGGGCCCGCACAAGCAGUGGAGUAUGUGGUUUAAUUCGACGCAACGCGAAGAACCUUACCAAGUCUUGACAUCCUGCGACGGUGCUGGAAACAGUACUUUCCUUCGGGACGCAGAGACAGGUGGUGCAUGGUUGUCGUCAGCUCGUGUCGUGAGAUGUUGGGUUAAGUCCCGCAACGAGCGCAACCCUUAUGGUCAGUUACUACGCAAGAGGACUCUGGCCAGACUGCCGUUGACAAAACGGAGGAAGGUGGGGAUGACGUCAAAUCAUCAUGCCCUUUAUGACUUGGGCUACACACGUACUACAAUGGCGUUAAACAAAGAGAAGCGAGACCGCGAGGUGGAGCAAAACUCAGAAACAACGUCCCAGUUCGGACUGCGGGCUGCAACUCGCCUGCACGAAGUCGGAAUUGCUAGUAAUCGCAGAUCAGCAUGCUGCGGUGAAUACGUUCCCGGGCCUUGCACACACCGCCCGU
rnacentral:rRNA from 1 species